rnacentral:lncRNA from 1 species
CUACCAUCAACCCAGUCACCCCGGUUAGCAGACCACCACCUAACAUCAACCCAAACACUAGACCGCCGCCUACAAUCACCCCAGUCACCCCCACCACCGCCACCAGACCACCACCCAACAUCACCCCGGUCACCCCGUCAGCCGGAAGUCUACGUGGCCCGGCCCCACAUCUUCGUCCUUUAGUAAACAGUGAUAUUCGCUCCCCGGCCCCACAUAUUCGACCUUUGGUAAACAGUGAUAUCCGAGCCCCGGCCCCACAUCUUCGACCUUAUAAACCUUCCACGUCAGCAUCUCCUGAAUUGACACCCUAUCGGAGGAUGGUCCCGGUGCCAGUGCCAGGUCAGCAUGUCACAACCCCCCCAAAUACCCAACCGCCACUACCUCCGGAAGCUUUUCAUGUUCCACCACCACCACCACCAAGUGGAGGAGGGGCUCAGUAUAACUUAGUGGACCUAACUGAUAUCUUCCACGAGGAUAAUGAAAAUGCACCACCACAACCACCACCACCACCACCACGAAGUGGAGGAGGAGUGGGUCUUGAGUUGGUUUGCUUGUCGGAUGAUGACUAGACUAACUAUAUUUAUAUAUAUCUUUUGUAAAGAAUGUGCGUAUAGUUGUAAUGGGCAAUGGCCAAUUCUAUUCUAGAGGAGUUCAAAUCAAAUGUUGUAAUUUUUUUUUGAAAUUUUGUUUUGGCCCCUUGCUUGAGCUUGUUAACCACGGGUUCUUUGUAGACUUUCAUGGUUUUCUAGUUAUUGGACGUUGAUAUUUGAGAGGAAAACUAUGAUCACCUUU